rnacentral:sRNA from 1 species
CCAACCAGCAAUCUGCCGCUUAAGGCGAUC